rnacentral:misc_RNA from 1 species
AAAAAAAAAAAAAAAAAACCUUAUCUAUUUGAAAACAUUUUUUGGGAAAACAAAUUAUUUUCUGUUGUUUGACAGUAACAUUGAAAAUCGGCUCAUUCUCUGGCAUUUGGCACACAUUAACAAUAGUCAAUUUUUCUACAUAAUAAUUUGACAUGAGGAGAUGAUAUAUUGUUAACUACAUAUGAAAUUUAGAUCCAAAUCAUACUAAACCAUCAGAAAAAAUUACAUUUUUUUGUAUAAUGCAUAAUAAUAUUACAUUCAAAAGAUAAAAAUCAAGAAUUCCAACACAAGUGGAUUUUGUCAUUAUUCAUUAAUCUACAAAAAGAUGAUGAUGAUGAAGAAGAAG